CACAAACACUUCUGUAUUUUGGCAAAUCGUGUGGCAAGAAAAUGUUUCCAAGGUGGUUGCACUGUCCGAACCUGACGAAGAAGACCAGGCAACGUACUGCCCAGAAACACACGGAAAAUACGGAGGUGUCACGGUGAACGUAAAGAAAACGGAGCUCAAGGCUGACUUUGCUGUGCGGGAACUUGAAGUGACCGCGGAAUCUGAAACUCGUACAGUGAUGCUGUUUCACUACAAAGCAUGGCCUUGCGGCAGAAUGCCGCCAUGCACUGACUCUCUUGAGUCGUUCAUCGAUGCUGCUCGCUGCUACCACCUUGAGGACUCUCAUCCGAUCUUGGUCCACAGCAGGUUGGGUGUCGGCAGAAGCGGCACAUUCAUCCUCAUACACAGCAUGAUCUCUCAAGCGGAGGCAGAAGGCAAAGUUGAUUGCUUGAGGCAGCUUCAUUCUAUGCGGUGCAGCAGGAUGAACAUGGUGGAAACUCAG